rnacentral:rRNA from 1 species
AGAGCGAACGCUGGCGGCAGGCCUAACACAUGCAAGUCGAGCGCCGUAGCAAUACGGAGCGGCAGACGGGAGAGUAACACGUGGGAACGUGCCCUUCAGUUCGGAACAACCCAGGGAAACUUGGGCUAAUACCGGAUACGUCCGUAAGGAGAAAGAUUUAUCGCUGAAGGAUCGGCCCGCGUCUGAUUAGCUAGUUGGUGAGGUAACGGCUCACCAAGGCGACGAUCAGUAGCUGGUCUGAGAGGAUGAUCAGCCACACUGGGACUGAGACACGGCCCAGACUCCUACGGGAGGCAGCAGUGGGGAAUCUUGCGCAAUGGGCGAAAGCCUGACGCAGCGACGCCGCGUGGGGAAGAAGGCUUUCGGGUUGUAAACCCCUUUCAGUUGGGACGAAGCUUCGGCGGUGAAUAGCCGCCUGGAGUGACGGUACCUUCAGAAGAGCCCGGCUAACUACGUGCCAGCAGCCGC